rnacentral:lncRNA from 1 species
AACCGUCGUUAUAUGUUAUUUGCCUUAAAAAUUUUUUAAAAAAAAGCCGAUAAAAGGAAUAAAGGAAACGCGCAAUCCCUAACCACUCACAUUCGUUGUCUUCUUCUUCAAUUUUCACGAAUUACAAUCACAACGACUCACUCAGUCACACACAGCAGCCCUAACCCUACCUAAGCUAUCAAACGCCAAUGCCGUUGCCGCUGUCAAAUCGAUUCAAGUGCUCCGGCGCUGAGUCUAGCCGUCCUUGAGCCGAUUUGCUUCCUUUUUCUGCCGCCGCUGUCAAUCUCUGCCAUUCUUGAGCCGAUUCACUUCCGCAAAACAGCUGCUGUCAUCUCUGCCGACAUUGCCUCUGUGUUCGUUCACCGUCAGAUGCAGUGUUAUUGUGGUGACACUGCCUCCGCUGUCAAGUCAGUUCAAAUUUUCUGGGUGCUAUCUCGAAAAUAUUGGUGAGAUUGUUGCCAAUGAUAUUCUAAAAUUUUGAAUUCAGGGUUAUUGUUUCACCACUGUGAGUUGCUUUCUCCAAUUUUGCAAUUCUUUCCUCUUAAUUUGCUUUGAAAUAUUUGCUCGUUGGAUUUAUUUCCUCUUCAUUUAUAAUCGAUUUGGUGAUUUUGUGUUGUGUAGCUUGUACCUUAGUCUCUCCUUUUCCUUUCAUAAUAUUAUAAAAUAUGUCGUGCACUUUGGCCUUUCGUUUCUUGAUUUUCUUGGUUAAUGAAUUUGGAAAAAGAGUGAAUUAUGGGUAAGGGGAUAGAAAAUCACAUUGACAGAAAAGAGGACUGAAACGCCUUGAUUUUUACUAAGUGGAGUUUACUUAUUUGUUAAAAAAAUAAAUUUUAAAUUAUUAAUGAUUUAAUUGUCUUAUGCUUAUUAUAUUGUUCGUAAAAUUUUUGUUACAAGUCCAGCCCAUGAACCUCUUUAUGUUUUAGCAUUUCUUUAUUUAUUUACGAAACGAAAACCAGCGUUCGAAUUCAAAAGCCGCCUUGGCCGUACAGCAGGUUUUCUUUUCUUUUUCUCUUUUUCUUUUUUUUCUUUUCUCACUAUCUCUAUUUCGAUCUCGAUUGCAAAUAAUCUCUAAUUGUGCAAUAGCUCUCAAUUUCCAACUUGAUAAAAUAAAGUGGCUUAUAAUAUUUUUCAAUUUAUAUAGCCUACGACCCUAUGAAUCCAAGUG